rnacentral:ncRNA from 1 species
UGAUAGCGUUGAAGCGCGAGGUUGCUGCAAGCGAUUGCAGGUUUUCCGUGGAGCGAAUGUCAAGUUAGGAAACUGGCGACAA